rnacentral:rRNA from 1 species
GCAAGUCGAACGGAGUUUUAACGGAAGUUUCGGAUGGAAGUUUAGAACUAGUGGCGGACGGGUGAGUAACGCGUGGGUAACCUGCCUCAGUACAGGGGGAUAACAGUUAGAAAUGACUGCUAACACCGCAUAAUAUAGCGAAACCGCAUGAUUUUGCUAUCAAAUAUUUAUAGGUAUGAGAUGGGCCCGCGUCUGAUUAGCUAGCUGGUGGGGUAAAGGCCUACCAAGGCGACCGAUCAGUAGCCGGCUUGAGAGAGUGACCGGCCACAUUGGGACUGAGACACGGCCCAAACUCCUACGGGAGGCAGCAGUGGGGAAUAUUGGACAAUGGGGGAAACCCUGAUCCAGCCGACGCCGCGUGAGUGAAGAAGUUAUUUCGGUAUGUAAAAGCUCUAUCAGCAGGGAAGAUUAAUGACAGUACCUGACUAAGAAGCCCCGGCUAACUACGUGCCAGCCGCGGC